rnacentral:rRNA from 1 species
CCUACGGGAGGCAGCAGUGGGGAAUAUUGGGCAAUGGGCGAAAGCCUGACCCAGCGACGCCGCGUGAGGGACGAAGGCCUUCGGGUUGUAAACCUCUUUCAGCAGGGAAGAAGCGAAAGUGACGGUACCUGCAGAAGAAGCACCGGCUAACUACGUGCCAGCAGCCGCGGUAAUACGUAGGGUGCAAGCGUUGUCCGGAAUUAUUGGGCGUAAAGAGCUCGUAGGUGGUUUGCCACGUCGGAUGUGAAAACCUGAGGCUUAACCUCAGGCCUGCAUUCGAUACGGGCAGACUAGAGUGUGGUAGGGGAGACUGGAAUUCCUGGUGUAGCGGUGAAAUGCGCAGAUAUCAGGAGGAACACCGGUGGCGAAGGCGGGUCUCUGGGCCAUAACUGACACUGAGGAGCGAAAGCGUGGGGAGCAAACAGGAUUAGAUACCCUGGUAGUCCACGCCGUAAACGGUGGGCACUAGAUGUGGGGACCUUCCACGGUCUCUGCGUCGCNGCUACGCAUAGUGCCCGCCGUCGGGUAGGUACGGCCGGCGACGGACGUAAACCGUACGAAACGGAAAGUUAAGUACGGCGUUGAGUACGUUGCGAACGGACGACGACGAGGGAGGAGG